CUAGGUUUAAUGCCACUCGAUCUAAUGUAUAUAGAUUGUCCAUAUGCACAUUUCCAUUUCUUAACAUUAGUAUCUCUACAACAUGAUCAUCAAGUAUAUCUUAGCAUUAGCCACAUGCUUGCAUUUAUUAUUUCUACAUCAUGCUUAUCAUACCAUUACUUAGCAUUAUCCCCAUGCAUGCUUAUCAUGUAAACUUUAACAUUACUCAAUGCAUUCAUCUAGCACUAUUUACACUAAGUCAUCAUGCAUUCCUCUUAUCAUGUUCUUAUAAUGUUAACAUUCAUAUGCCCUUUAUCUUAUGCAUUCAAAGCAUUAAUCACAUGCAUUUAUCUAGCAUUUCUAUAAUAUGUUAACAUGCAUUCUUUUCACAUUCUUACAUUAUGUCAAAUGCAUUCCUCUAGCAUUUCACAUUAUAUGUCAACAUGCAUCAAUAUGAAAUCUCAUUUCUUAGACAUAAAGGGCGACCUAGUCGCUUCGGUAAGCACAACCCACCUCAUUUCGCAUUCCGAUUGCUUGUCGACACUUACAAUCGACCGCCCGCGGCACCCGUAUCCGGCACGGCCCGAUACUGCAACUGCGCCUCAACCGUGCUCCGCUUCGCAGCCCCGAAAAUUAUAGGUCUUCGGUUAUGUGCCACGAUGCCUCAAAUCCAUUUCCACGAUUUUACGACGUCGCCUCGGCCCUCCCGGCGGACCCGAAGCCUAAACGUCCAUUUCUUUAAUAACUUUGUAACGGCUCGUCGGAUUGCCGAACCGUCUUCGCCAACGCGUUUCGUUACCUAGCAAUUAGGUUUACGAAGGAUCAAAUGAGAUCAAACCCUCAUAUUUUGAAAGUUUGCAUUUUUGUGCCCUAAUAUGAAUUAACCUCUAAAUAAUCCAAAUCAAAUGGAGUAAACAUGUUUAGAAUGCUCAUUAGAGGCUAUUAGAACACUUAAAACUAAGGAUUAAGCCAAAUCCUAAAAGCUUACCUCAAUGUGAACGCCGCGACGACAACACACCGCUCCAACGGCCGCACGAAAGCCCGAUCCGUCGCCUCCAACGCGUUCGCAAGCAUCUUCUCCACCAACCCUCCAAUUUUUAGAGAGAGAUUUAGAGAGAUGAGAG
rnacentral:lncRNA from 1 species